AUUCUUCUGGACAAUGAGUCCCAUCAUCUCUCCACCAUGCACCUUGUGACUCCCUCCUCUGCUGACAACAGAUAACCACCUUUAACUGUAACUUUCCACAGCCUACCCCAGCCCUAUAAAGCUGCCCCUCUCCUAUCUCCCUUCGCUGACUCUCUUUUCAGACUCAGCCCACUUGCACCCAAGUGAAUUAACAGCCUUGUUGCUCACACAAAGCCUGUUUAGGUGGUCUUCUAUACGGACAUGCUUGACACUUGGUGCCAAAAUCUGGGCCAGGGGGACUCCUUCGUGAGACCGGCCCCCUGUCCUGGCCCUCAUUCCGUGAAGAGAUCCACCUGCGACCUCGGGUCCUCAGACCAGCCCAAGGAACAUCUCACCAAUUUCAAAUCGGAUCUCCUCGGCUUAGUGGCUGAAGACUGAUGCUGCCCGAUCGCCUCAGAAGCCCCUUGGACCAUCACAGAUGCCGAGCUUCGGAUUCCCAGCCAUAUGAAGACACCCUAGCUGGACGAUCAGUCCUUGUCAAAAGUCUGACCCCUCAAACUCUACAGCCUCAAUGGACCAGACCCUACCCGGUCAUUUAUAGCACACCAACUGCCGUCCAUCUGCAGGACCCUCUCCAUUGGGUUCACCAUUCCAGAAUAAAGCCAUGCCCAUCAGACAGCCAGCUUGAUCUCUCCUCUUCCUCCUGGAAGCCACAAGAUUAGGCCGAGAGCCGAUCAGACAAACAACCUACAACCCUUAAGCUCCUGGCAGCGCCCAGCCAAGGCCAUGCUUCCUUGCAACACUCCUUCCAAAUGGCCAUCCCAGCAUGCUUCCAAGCAGGCUUCAUCCGUUCCUCUGGACCCUCAUCUCUUAAGACCUGCCGCCUAUAAAAAGGAUUAUAUCUUGAGACCCUAUCCUCUAAAAUUUUUUCCACACCCAAAACAAAAAAUCUCUGGGUCAAAAGUCUAAAACGCUUAGGCUGGCAACCAUCAGAUCCUUGCCCAUGGUGUCCUCAAGCCUACUCUCAUGAAAUGGACAACAGUACACGCAUAUGGGGCCAGUUCCACAUAUUUGGCAACCAGACCAGCAUCCAGGACAACACAAAGAUCUGCAAUCAGAACUAUUGAACUUCUCCAUUCAGACCGCCACUCACACCUAUGGGAAAAGGGUAAUGUAUCAUCGGCUUAGCAACAGGGAAUACUAUUCGUAUGAUGGAAAAUGGGGACAAAAGGCUUUGGUACAUAAAACAUUAUUCCUUCCUUGGCCUAAAAACUCAUCGCCACCUACAUUAAAGCUAAUAUGCCU
ensembl:lncRNA UCA1 urothelial cancer associated 1